rnacentral:rRNA from 1 species
GACGAACGCUGGCGGCGUGCCUAAUACAUGCAAGUGGGACGCAAGGACACACACUGUGCUUGCACACCGUGUUUUCUUGAGUCGCGAACGGGUGAGUAACGCGUAGGUAACCUGCCUAUUAGCGGGGGAUAACUAUUGGAAACGAUAGCUAAUACCGCAUAAUAUUAAUUAUUGCAUGAUAAUUGAUUGAACGAUGCAAGCGCAUCACUAGUAGAUGGACCUGCGUUGUAUUAGCUAGUUGGUAAGGUAAGAGCUUACCCAGGCGACGAUACAUAGCCGACCUGAGAGGGUGAUCGGCCACACUGGGACUGGGACACGGCCCAGACUGCUACGGGAGGCAGCAGGAGGGAAUCUUCGGCAAGGGACGAAAGUCUGACCGAGCAACGCCGCGUGAGUGAAGAAGGGUGUCGGAUCGGAAAGCUCGGUUGUAAGUCAAGAACGUGAGUGAGAGUGGAAAGUUCACACAGUGACGGUAGCUGAACAGAAAGGGACGGCUAACUACGUG